rnacentral:lncRNA from 1 species
CAGGCGACGAUCCAAAAUUAUCUCUAAUGUGUUGUUUAUACAUAUAAGAAAGGCGAGUCAAGAGCGGUCGACAUUGAAGAAAGACGAAGUCCUCUUGGGCGCAUUAGUUUAACAUGUGGUUUGUUGUUUAAACUGUACUUCGGGAUGCCUUCGGGAUCGGCACACAUUCUUUAGACUGCACUAUUUCCUGGAUUGGCCCGUAUUUAUUGUUAGGUAAAGCGU